UAUUGGCAACAGGCGUUUGCGUUCUACUAUGUACUUUCAAAUCUGUAAAAGGAGGACUCGAAGGUUUUAUAGUCGGUGGUGAUUAUGUUGAAUCUAUAACAGAAUACCCUCAUGUCGCUUCUUUAGCGAUAAAAUUAUUGGACAACGAUUAUAGUUUAUGCGGGUCAUCUAUAUUAAACCAAGUGAUUUUAAUAACUGCCGCGCACUGUUUGGAUAAUCCUCAGGAAGUAAUAGCUUCUGUGGGUAGCCUGAUAGUUGAGCAAGGAGAACUGUAUCGUGUCGCCAAAUUCAGGCUGCAUGAAAAAUGGAAACAGCCCUCCAGGACCUCACACGACAUAGCGUUGUGUGGACUGGAGAAACCACUGUCACUAGGGGAGACGGUAAAGCGGGUGUUACUGAUGAGGCAGCCACCGAGAACACAGACAGCUGUCUUGACUGGUUGGGGCGCGUAUGAAGAAAUUGACUACUUAGAAUCAGUUCAGCUCAAACAUUCAAAACAGAAGGUUUGGACAUAUAACACGUGCAAAAAAGUCGUCAAAACUGCACCCCAUGGCACUAUUUGUGGAGGCGAACUUAAUGAUAAAGGAAAUUUUGCUUCUAGAGGAGACUCAGGCAGUGGUCUCCUAGUUAACAGCAAUAUAAUCAUUGGGCUGGUUUCCUUCAAAAACGUGAAAAUCUCUCGCAGCGUAGUGGUCUAUACGGACGUCGCUUACUACUACGAUUGGAUUGUGCGCGAAUCAAAACAAUUAUUAUGUAAAUAAAAUACAUAGUUAAGCGUAGUUAAGGACCUGUAAUUAGUAUUAAGUUAAUUUAUUUCAUUGCGUUACACAAUUUACUGUAUUAUGUAUAUUUUAUUGUAAGUACUUAUUUCACAAUUAUACAAGUUUAUAGCAUCCGUCAAUACACUAAAUGCAUGUAAUAUAAGGUGAUUUAUAUUCUUAACACGAUAGAACCAAUUACCUAACUUCAGAAUAAUACUUACUAAUACUUAAGGACCUAUCUUAAGGUCUGCAUCAGGGUCAACAUGGUGUAGGCUGUCGACAAAUUUUAUGUAAAAAAAAACAAUAAAUAGGACCCACCUGUGGUGAACCUCCUUAUAAUGAACGCGGCAACACAUCACGAAUCCUGUACAAUAUUUAUUUUACAUCAGUUUUUACACAUU